AGCGCCACCAGGCUUAGCACACGGGUGGGCGCGGUGCGUACCCUCUCGCACACACGCAGCCUCGCGCACGCCGCACGCGCCUCGCCGGCCCCCUCGCGCACGCGGCGCCCCGCCUCUCCGGCCUCCUCGCGCAAGCCGCUUCCUCGAUGGCGUUCCGGAGAGCGGAGAGCGGCCUGAGGACGACGACUUCGACGUCGAGGUAGACGCCGCCCCAGCCCGGCCUCGCCUCCUCCACAAGCCGCCGCCCCGGCCCAGCCUCGCCUCCUCCACACGCCGCCGCCACAGGGCCCCCGAUCCAGAUCCAGCAAGGAGGGAGGGAAGGAGAAGGCCCCGCCGCCGCCGUCAAGCCGGCCAAGUCCAGAAGCGGCAAGCAGAAGAAGAAGAAGUCCGGAGGUGGAGCAAGGGCAAGCACAAGGAGAAGGUCAACAACGCCGUGCUCUUCGACCAGCCCACCACCUACGACAAGCUGCUCUCCGAGGUUUACAAGAAUCCUCUGAGCCAAAUAAGUCAAGAAGGGGCGGAUCUUGGAGGUGGAAGAUCACCUCAUCUUCUGUCACAAUCACUGGGAAAGGGAGAAACAAAAAACAAGGUGUAAUCAGGUCAGAACAUUUCACCUCUUUUGUUACCAUCCAGCAUAUUAUUUAAAUAUCAUGCGUUGAGCAAUGAAGAAAUUAACUUGAUUGGUUGCAAGAGCUUGCUUUUUGUUGCACGAUCUGUUGGUGCGAACUGGGUUCGCUAACAAAGAUUGUAUGGUCUGUUCUUUAGUCAAUAUUCUUUCCAUCUGUUCAUGAGAACUAACUUGUGAUACUAUCGUGUCUGAACUUUCCUAAGAGCAGACAUCAGUGUCUCAGCAGUUUGAUGAGUGGAAUGAACUUGAUUAGGAAAAUAACAGUCUGGUACUCUGGUGUAUAUUGUUUUACAUUCAUAAGAAUUUAUUAUUCUUUACUACUACAUAUAUUAGGAGAAUGACUGCUUGUAAUGUCAAUGAGCACUACUGAUUAUGAUGUAAUGUUGAUGAAUAGAAGUCAUUCCUUGUAUUGAUUUUUGUUUUUUCAUUCCUGUUGUUUUUCAAGCUUGCUGCCCUCAUAGACCUUUGAUCAAGCUUGCUGUCGACUGUAGUAGACUGGAGGCUACUGAUUUGACCAAGUGUUUUUAAACUAGGAUGUAGUGCAGGUACUUGCUCAUCAGAUCAGAUAUGCAGUUCAGUACUUGCACACAGCCACAGUAUUCAGUUAGAAGCUGUUUGUUACUUGCAAUGGUGCAUCUUGCUGUAAACUGUAUUGGCCUCCAUUUAUAGUACAGCUAGCAAUGGAACCUGAACUAAUGUGAUUUUUUGCUCAUUACUGAAUUGCACUAGAGUACUCCCUCCGUCCCAAAAAACAAGGCAUCUUAGGAAUUUUAGGACAAAUUAACAAGAAGGUAAAAAUGACCAUGUUUGCCCCUAUUUAUUAUCCUUAUUUGGUGCUGAUUGAUUCUUACAUGCGCAUGCACUUUCUAAAUAGGGUAAGAUGACAUGUUUUUUGGGACAAAAUUUGAAUCCUAGAAUGACUUGUUUUUUGAGACGGAGGGAGUACAUCUUUAGCACCCCUUUCUGAUAUUUUGAUCUGUCAGCUUACACUUUGACAUAUCUUGUUACCUUGAGUAAAAGAUAUGAAUGAGCUGAUGAUUUUUUAAAUCAUCAGAUGAAAUUUCACUCUUGACUGUCAUCUGUUCUGCAGUUCUUCAACUAAGUUUUCCCUUUCUGUAUGUAGUUCAUAUUGAUGCUGGAUCUGUAUGUGUUCUUUACACCUAGCAAGAUCACGCUCUAGCUUGCGAUCCCUGUAUAUUGCUGUUUGAGGCAGCAAUGGCCAAUGACAAUGACGUGCUGCAGAUGCCAACUGCUUGCCUGCUUGCUUCUGUAAUUUCUAGAGUAGUCACAAAGAGUAAAGGCCUGAUCCCUGUAUAGUUUGGUUGCUUGUGAAUUAUGAUGACGAAGGCCAGCCUAGCAGCAAGCUUUUUAUUUAAUCUUGUUACUUGAUCAAGAAGCCUGUCCUGUGCAGCACCAUUGAGAGUUGGGGAAGGUGAAGCUCCCCCUUCCUGGGAUCCAGUAGCAACACCGAAAGGUACUAUACCAUGAUAUUUUCUCCACAUAUGUGGUCUUAGGCAGAUUUACAGUUAACUGUGCCGUGAUCUAGUGAUAUGAUAGCAUUUUCAGUUGCUUGUUGUCAUACAGUUCUUUUUUUCAGUAGUGUUUCUAAAUGUGGAAGGGCGGGCCUGGUGCAGCGAUAGAGCCUACCGUCUGUAACUGGAAGGUCCCGGGUUCGAGCCCCAGCCUCUGCACAUUUGUGUGGGUAAGGCUUGGGGCUUAAAAACAACCCUUCCCCAGACCCCGCACAGUGCGGGAAGCCUACGGCACUGGGUACGCCCUUUUAGUGUUUCUAAAUGUGCAUGUGUUUGAGUUCCCUUCUGAGUCAUAAAUAUAUGAAUGCCCUUCUCUUUUGUUAUAUAGUAAUCAAUGUUCUUAAGGCGUUGAGGCGAGGUGUGGCGCCCUACCUCCUCUGGACGCCUAGGCGACGCCUAGGCGAGGCGAGGCGACGCCAUACACCAACGUAAAAGCAGAAUAUUAGCAGUAUAAUUAGCAGUAUAAAGGGGAAAAGAAAUAAGAAAAGAAGAAAGAAAAGAGAAAAGGCCCAGGAAGAAUGUAAGGCCCAGCCCACCAAAUCACUACCAGCCCAUAAACUACUCAUCUCCUCCCAUCAGCCCACCCGCUCCCCCCUACCCUAUCUCGUCGUGCGCCGCCACUCCCUUCGCGGCCACCCCAGACGGAGCACCAGCGCCGCCAGUUCUCCUCCCUGCCGCGGCCACCCCUAGAUGGAGCACCAGCGCCGCCGCUCCUCCUCCCUGCCGCGGCCACCCCCAGAUGGAGCACCAGUGCCCCCGCUCCUCCCUGCCGCGGCCACCCCCAGAUGGAGCUAUGGCGCCGCCGCUCCUCCCUGCCGGACGGCGCGGAGGCGGUGCUGCCCAGGCGCAGCACUGUCGGAGACGGCAGGUACAACAUCAUCUUGCUAUCGCUGAUCGGUUUUCGUCCUCUUUCUCCCUUCUCCCUCCCUCCAUCCCUUCCUGACAUGAAUUAGGCAAGGCGUCCAGGACGCCUUGGAGCCUUGGAGCGCCUCAUCGCCUAGGCGACGACUAGGCGACGACUAGGCGACGCCUAGGCGACGCCUUAAGAACUAUGAUAGUAAUCCAAUGAAUUGAUGCAGAGAGUGACAAUUCAUGUUAGCUUAGACAAUUGGAGAUACAUAACAGUGCAAUAACUUGUGAAUUCACCACAUAUUACAUGCAGUCCUGUACUUUGUUUUAUUCUUUGCAAAAAAAAAAGCAACAUGACUUUGUUUUAUUUCUUGCAUGUGCUAUUUUCAGACUAAGAUUUCUGGGUUCAACUACACAGGUUAGAUGGUGAAAACCUUCUUGAGGGUCUAGGAGUCUUGCUCGGCAAACUGUUGUAAUGUUCGUCAAGUUUUUGACCAAUGAAUUAUAUAUAUUGUGACACUGUGCUGGACACAGCUACUUAUAAACCAUGACACUGUUGUGUAAACCAAGUUGCUUAUGCUGUGACAGAAUGGAAGGUUAAGCUAAUCAUGAUUGAAUGUGUGUCACAGUUCUUGAUGGAUUGAAAAUAUGAACACUUUGCUUGCCUUCUUAUCCAACUGUUCUUUUGGCUUAACAUAGGUUGCUCUGUCUGCCUGUGCCUAACAUGUGUGCUGUUCCAACACCUUUUCUGCUUAACAAAUAUCUUUCCUUGUUACUUGUAGAGGUGUAACUGUAUGAGGUUCAUUUAUCUCUAUUUGAUUGGAUAUCCCUGUUUCUUGCUAUUGAUGACAUAUCUGUUGAAACAGCACAGUAUUUUCUACAAAUAGAGUUAAAUUUGGGGCAGGUACACCAACAGCAACAAUUAUUUAGGGGCCGAGGGAGUAGGCGUUAUUAAUCUGGCGUGACGGCUAGUCAACGAAAGGUGCGCAACGACCCCACCCCACCCCAGCACCAUCACUCCCAAAAUCUCAGGCCGUGCCCAUCAAAAAAAAAAUCUCAGGCCGUGUUUUCCUGCUGCUCACUCGAAUUUCAGCUUGCUCAGUGUUCCAACGGAGACCUCGCUAUGGUUCGGUUCUGCUCUCGUCUGUGGAGACGUUCAAUUUGUUUUUGGUUCAGUUAACUCUGAGCAGGUUCGUUCAUCACUAGAAGUUCCUAGAGUUCGAUUGGAGUCUUGCCAGCGUUCUUGCUUGAUGGCCAUAGAAACUCAGGUAUUUCUCACGAGUUCUAUAUGAGUAUUAUGCUAUAGUUUUGUCUUGGAGUUACUAACUGAAAUCUCCGUGCCUUCUACUUUUUGUUGUUUUGUGCUCCUCCAUAUCGCCGCUCCUCCAUAUCGCCCUGACUUGUUUGUUCACCGUAUCAGCCGGGAACCACUGGGUUUGCUUUGCCGCUAACUCGAUCAGUUUGCGUAUGUUCUCGCCUAGUCUCAUCGGCGGAGUCUUCCCAAGGAGCUCCCAUUCGACAGCAGCAAUAGAACAUAAAAGAAAGAUGGAGUGCCUCCUGCUCCGCAUCAUGCUAAUUUUAGCAUCUCUGCUCCCGGUUUCAUUAUCUAAUCGAGAAGGUGAUGCAUUAUUGGAUAUGAAGCUGAUGCUGAAUGCUACUGACAACCAGCUUGCUGACUGGAACCCGAUGCUCUUCCCCUGCUCUUGGAGUCAUAUUAUUUGCGACGAAAACAAUAGUUUUGUGCGAGUGUAAGUUUGUUUGCUGCGGUUCCCUUCGGCCUUCAUUCCCAUUUUAGUUUGUUUAAUACUAUUAGUUGAGUCAUCACAAGUUCACGGCUAGCUAAGUUACCCGUACAUUGCAUAAGCUAGCCGUUUCAAUACAAGCAUAGAACUUUAUGGACCAUUGGACAUACAUCAUCUUCCCAAUUUAACACUUUAUUGGAACCUCCACAUUAAUCCUUAAGAGACACACCAAAAAUAAACCGUGAGAAGUUAUUACAAAAAUGAGAAGCAUCCCACCAUCAAUUCGUAGACUCUAGUCAUCACUAAUAAUAAUAUAAUAGUCAAUGGAUUUAUUCUAAAUUCUAGAGAAGACACCCAUCUUGUCAUAUAUGUGUUUUACCGCACAGUCCACCAAAGGGUAAAACCCUAGGUGGUUGAUUGUUCGGAGAGGAUCGUUGGAUCUAAACCUCGAUGAUAGCACAUGGACAUAAGACAUGAAUGUUUAGAGCAUCUCCAAGAGCUUAGGUAAAUAAGGCUAACUAAAUUCUCAUUUAGAUAUCCAUUUGGCUAAGAUUGCCUCACUAUUUUGUGGUAUCUUCCAACAGCCUAGCUAUCCAUCUCCACACACACAUACACUGGCACGUGGGUCCCGCGCGUCAUCACUCUCCCUCGCAUCUCCACCCCCGUCUCCAUGGUCGCGGCCGCUCCCUCCCUUCCGCGUCGAGCCCACCCGCCGUCUCCGCCGCGCGCUCGCCCCGCCCGCCGUGGCCCUGCCCGCCUUCGCCCAGGAGCGCAUCGCAGCCCCGCCGUCGCCGCUGCGGCCUCGCGCCGGAGGGGGUGGGCGCAGCGGGGAGGGGGCGGCGUGCCGAAGGGGGUGGGAGGGAGCUCUGAGGGGACGGGGACAGCGGCCCGCAGCAGCGAGGGGGCCCGCGCCUCCCGUCGCCGCCUCGCCUCCCGCCACAGGCGCAGCCCGCGCCUCCCGCCGGCUACAGAGGCGGACCUCGUGCGGGAGCUCGUCGAGGACGCCGGCUGCGCUGCUCGCCUCGCUGGUGCGCGGAGGGGGCCAACUUGGCGGCAGCAGCACCGGCGCCACCUCCUCCCGCCGCCGCCGCCGUCCGCCCGCGCCGGUCCCCGCCGCCGCGGCCCCAUCGUCGUCCGCCCAUGCCGGUCGGCGCCGCCAUGGCCCCGCCGUGGUCCUCGCCUCGCUGCCGUCCACGCGCUGAUGCCGCAGGACUCCACCGGAGUAGAUCCGCUUGGCCCCGCAGGAGGAGGAAGCCAUGGAGCGGCGGCGGCAGCAUGGGAGCGCGCAGCGGCGUGCCGCACGCCGGCAAGGGAGCAGGGGGAGCGCCGGUGGAGGAUGGUGGGAUCGUGGGACCCGUGAGAGGAGGGGAUGACGAGGGCGACUGACUCGUAAAAGAAAAUGAGUGGAGGCUCGGGCAUUGCGAGCGAGAUAGCGAGCAGUGGCACAUAGAGAGUCUGUUGGAUUCCAUUUUCACUCCAGUUUUACUACUUUUACCUAUUCAACUCCUUUUACAUAGUCUGUUGGAGUUGCUCUUAUACAGGUUUAGACCAUAAGAGUAGUGUAAUACCCUACGUUAUGUUGGCACAGAUCGUGGUUUGGGACUUUAUGGAUCUAGAUUGUCUUAGACCCUACACUUGAUACUAUUUGUUCUGGUUUGUGACUUCUUAUGGAUCUAGAUUGUCUUA